rnacentral:rRNA from 1 species
CCAGAGAACUUAGCAGAGAUGCUUUGGUGCCUUCGGGAACUCUGAGACAGGUGCUGCAUGGCUGUCGUCAGCUCGUGUUGUGAAAUGUUGGUUAAGUCCCGCAACGAGCGCAACCCUUAUCCUUUGUUGCCAGCGGCUCGGCCGGGAACUCAAAGGAGACUGCCGGUGAUAAACCGGAGGAAGGUGGGGAUGACGUCAAGUCAUCAUGGCCCUUACGGCCAGGGCUACACACGUGCUACAAUGGCGCAUACAAAGAGAAGCGACCUCGCGAGAGCAAGCGGACCUCAUAAAGUGCGUCGUAGUCCGGAUUGGAGUCUGCAACUCGACUCCAUGAAGUCGGAAUCGCUAGUAAUCGUAGAUCAGAAUGCUACGGUGAAUACGUUCCCGGGCCUUGUACACACCGCCCGUCACACCAUGGGAGUGGGUUGCAAAAGAAGUAGGUAGCUUAACCUUCGGGAGGGCGCUUACCACUUUGUGAUUCAUGACUGGGGUGAAGUCGUAACAAGGUAAGCGUAGCGAG